rnacentral:rRNA from 1 species
CCUACGGGAGGCUGCAGUGAGGAAUAUUGGUCAAUGGGCGGAAGCCUGAACCAGCCAAGUCGCGUGAGGGAAUAAGGCCCUACGGGUCGUAAACCUCUUUUGCCGGGGAGCAAGGGCGGGGACGUGUCCCGGCCCGGAGAGUACCCGGAGAAAAAGCAUCGGCUAACUCCGUUCCAGCAGCCGCGGUAAUACGGAGGAUGCGAGCGUUAUCCGGAUUGAUUGGGUUUAAAGGGUGCGUAGGCGGGCUUUUAAGUCAGCGGUAAAAAUUCGGGGCUCAACCCCGUCCGGCCGUUGAAACUGGGGGACUUGAGUGGGAGAGAAGAAGGCGGAAUGCGUGGUGUAGCGGUGAAAUGCAUAGAUAUCACGCAGAACCCCGAUUGCGAAGGCAGCCUUCCGGCGCCCUACUGACGCUGAGGCACGAAAGUGCGGGGAUCGAACAGGAUUAGAUACCCGGGUAGUC